AAUGUAAUUUAAUUGAACUCCACGAGUACUUCAUAUUAAUAUUGAAAUCACAGAAACAAAACCUUGCAUUUGCGCAAUCUGCGAGGGAGACCAGAAAAAUUGAUAUUAAGUUGGCUUUUCAAUGUGUAAAGGUUCCUUUAAAGAUGGUGCAAAGGGAGGAACUUGGAUUUAGUCUUAGGGUCCUAAUGUGGGAUGUUUGUGAUGCUAGACAAGUUUCAAAGUUAAGCUGGUGUUACAACAAAUACAGAGAGUUACCAUUUUGCAAGAUGUGUCUAACCAAAUUUAGCUCACAUGAUUAUCAUGCUAUGAUUGCUCUAGGGAACUAUGUGAAAAGCCUCUUAAAUUGAGAUUCAAAAUUUGCUGGCUGCUUCAUAAUAGAGUCCAUUGUUGAUGUGCUGGUAUUAGGCUCUUCAACAAGUUCCAAUUCUACAAGUUUUAAUUCCAGCUUCUGAAUCCAAGAACUUAUGCUGGUGCAUGAAGCGACAUGAGCUGCUAAUGUUUUAUCAAGCAUGGUGUUAAGUAACAUCUUCUGAAUUUCAUGGCUGCUUGUUGGCUUGCAGAAAAUGUCGAAUCGGGUAGAUUGAUUUUGGCAACCGUAACAUCCAAAACCAGCUCAAAGGUUGGAACAUCCAAUGCUUAUGGUGAUCGUGGACUUCCAUCAUAGCAAGGAACAUAGUUGCAUCUUCAAGGGGUGCUCCUACCAAAGGACCAAGACAAGAUUGAUCGUGUGUGUUCACGA